rnacentral:rRNA from 1 species
ACGUAGGGACCAAGCGUUGUUCGGAAUUACUGGGCGUAAAGGGCUCGUAGGCGGCCAACUAAGUCCGACGUGAAAUCCCAAGGCUUAACCUUGGAACUGCGUCGGAUACUGGUUGGCUUGAAUUCGGGAGAGGGAUGCAGAAUUCCAGGUGUAGCGGUGAAAUGCGUAGCUAUCUGGAGGAAUACCGGUGGCGAAGGCGGCAUCCUGGACCGACAUUGACGCUGAUGAGCGAAAGCUAGGGGAGCAAACGGGA